GUGCGAAGGAGCUUGAAAGGGGGA
rnacentral:piRNA from 1 species